rnacentral:rRNA from 1 species
CUAGCUUGCUAGUUGCUGACGAGUGGCGGACGGGUGAGUAACGCGUAGGAAUCUACCGAGUAGUGGGGGACAACAGUUGGAAACGACUGCUAAUACCGCAUAAUCCCUGAGGGGGAAAGGAGGGGAUCUGUUUACAGACCUUUCGCUAUUUGAUGAGCCUGCGUGAGAUUAGCUAGUUGGUGAGGUAAUGGCUCACCAAGGCGACGAUCUCUAGCUGGUCUGAGAGGAUGAUCAGCCACACUGGAACUGAGACACGGUCCAGACUCCUACGGGAGGCAGCAGUGGGGAAUAUUGCACAAUGGGGGAAACCCUGAUGCAGCCAUGCCGCGUGUGUGAAGAAGGCCUUCGGGUUGUAAAGCACUUUCAGCGAGGAGGAAAGGAGUAUGUUUAAUAAACGUGCUCUGUGACGUUACUCGCAGAAGAAGCACCGG